UUUGUGGUUCCGCAUUAACUUGACAUCUUUGUUUUUGAGUUGUGAAUUCUUUUUGCUGCCACGUCUGGUUUUAUACUUUGCAGAGAGGAGGUACAUUGGAGAACUCGUGAGCCUUUGAGAUAAGCAAGCACAAGAAAUGAAGUUGAUGGCUAAUGCGAUAAGAAGAUUGGAAGAAACUCUGAUGUUACCGACAAGUUCUCUUAGAUGGGAUUUCCCCCUAUGAAAACACCUUAUGAAGUUGCAGAAGUGUGUGAUGUGGAUGUAGUAAUUACAAUGUUGCCUUCUUCGACCCAUGUGAGUACAAUCAUACCAAUGGCAUUUCGUUUUCUGCAAAAACAGUGGGCCAUUUGCUUAUGUGUUGACUCCAUGAAGACUCUUCAGUUUGUUCAGCAUUUCUGAAAAACUUUUUGACCUUUUGAGCAAUACUUCGAUAUUUUAAAUGUCAUUUAGCUUUAUAUUCAAUGUGGCAUCUAUUUGGUUGUGCAAGCCACAAACUGCAAAACUUUAUCAAUGUGAAUGCUGAUCUGCUUCUAAGCUGUGUACAUAAGAUUCUCAGUUAGAAUAUAACAAAUUUGGAGAAUUGUCUUAUUGCUGUUGAUCUUCUUACCUUUGACUGUGUACUAACUCCAGAAUAACACACUAAUCUAAAUUAAGUAGGUGAUUGAUGUUUACACUGGAUCAAAUGGUUUGCUUCAAGCUGGGAGGGUCCUACGGCCAUGGUUAUUGAUUGAUUCAUCCACAAUCAUCAAGAAGCCUUUCUGUUGCAAUAUAUAAUUGUCUUUUAAAAUAAAAGAAAGGUACCAUUAAAUGAAAUAUUGUUGACCUUAAAGCUGUUUUCAUGUUUUUCCUGCUCCAUAUAUUUUAUUUACCAUGUCAAUAAUUAAUUUUUUUCUCAUGAGAAAUGGUUUGCCGAUUUUGUGGGAGUAUUUGUGGCUAUAUCUAUACUUCGAUUGUAUAAUUCAUACCCGGGGGGCAGGGGCAGGGGCAGGAGUAUACGACCAUGAGAGGAGUUUUAUAGUGCUCUUCAAAGUUCUACUUCAUACCCUGUCUCAUCAGGAUGUCCAUUAUUUGUUGCUCCCUACCCAACCCUACUGUCAUCUUUAGUAUUAGGUCACUAGAACUUGCUUCUUUGAUUAUGGUGCAUAUUUAAACUCUCUACUAUUUUUAUGUAAAGCUCUUCUGGUUGCAUCUUCUGGAGUUGAUUUAUUAAGCUGACAAAGUUUAUUUGCCUCACUGGAGCACUCUGACAACUGGCGAAUUGUUAGAUUUCAUAAAUGAUAUGAUGCAGAUAUUUAGUGUAAUUUCUACUUGUUACACUCCUUUUUCCUCAUAAAAAUGGGUCCAAAUUUCUACUCUGCAUCAAGUCACCUAAGUGAUCCGGGAUAUUGUGUGACAGCGUGUUACUUGAACAAAGUAGUUUUCGUUUUAGCUGAUAGUUCUUCAAUUUAUAUGGUCAAUUGGUCAUGACGCGUGAAAAAAUGAAAUUAAUUUCUAUCUGGCAUGGCAUGCAAUAGCCUAGUCAUUGAAUGAAAAUGCCUCUUGCCACUGGAUCAGGAUAAGGUGUAAUUGAUAUCAAUGAUAUAUCAUUACUUUUUUUUUUUGGGGUACUUUUAAGCAAUAUUUUCUAACAUACUAUUUGAAAGUAAGUCUUGUUUCAAAAAGGGCCAGUAGGCUCUUUGAUGAUGUGAAUUUUUCUUUCUGGAUAGAAGGGGUUUCCUAACAUCCUCCUGUUGUAUAUGAACUGCUUUCUAAGUUUUAGCAUGCUGAGUUGGUCUCCUUUCUUUUGUUUGGGGUGGGGGGGUUUAAAUGAUUAUGCACCGGUGAUGGGAAGACUCCCAUCAAGUUGGACGCUCCUGUAUCUGGAAGUGUGAUUGCUGCAGAAGCUGGAAGCCUGGAACACUAACUUUUAUGGUAGGUGGCUCUGAGGAAGCUUUUUUGGCUGCGAAAACCUUAUCCCUUUCAAUGGGUAAAAGUGCAAUAUAUUGUGGAGGAGCAGAAGGUGAUUCUGUAAGUUAGAUCUUUGAAAUUGAACUUCAAACUUUUCGAUGCUGUUGGCCAAAUAAAAUAAAAUCAAUGCUGUAAAUGCUGCUUGUAUGGUCUUCUUUAUGAAUCUUAUCAAAAAAGUUCAGUUUGAGAAAUUAUAUUAAUUAUGAUAUUUUGGAACAGAUAAAUUCAUUCAUUGUUACAUUAAUUUUUUAUUUUUAUUUUUUGUUCGUUUGCUGAUUGUGAAUUGUGAAAAUCUAUUCAUAUUGAAAAUUUUUAUUUGGAACAAUUUUGUUUGUGUUAGUAUUAGAUGUAUGUUAUCCACUUGCAGUUGAUACAGCAGGGGCGUCAUUUUAGUGUUGGCUUGGUCUUGUUAUCAGGCAUCUAAGACAUGUAAUAAUUUGAUUGUAGAAAAGUAUAUUAAAUUUAUAAGGCUAAGUAGCUAAGUCUCUCUCUCUCUCUCUCUAUAUAUAUAUAUAUGUAUAAAUAUUGGCUGUAGAGUGCAGAUCGAUCUCGAGGGUGUUGAACACGCCCCCUAAAUUGUGUUAAUGAGAUGCAGGCUAAAGACUUAAACCUUGCAGUAGAAACAGCCAAACAAGCUAGCUGUAAACAUCCAUUGGCAUCUCAAGCACAAGAAAUGUAAGCCCCUCUUCUUCCAUAAUCUUGAUUUAAAACUUUUCAAAUUGAGUUAUUUACAUUUCUACAUUCAGAAAGAGAUCUCGAUACAAAAUAAUGCCACUGUCUAUGAAAUCCACGUUAAAUUUUAACACUAAUCCUUUUGCCCCAAUAUCUCUUUCUAAAUAUACUGUAGUCAUUCGCUUAUUAUGACGUUCAAAGAUGAAGAUAAGAACGUUUUGACAGUAUUGGAUUAAAUAUUUGAUGUUUGUUUGCUGAUCAACAAGCUGUUUUGCUCCCGAUAUAGAGAACUCUGCGUGGAUGGGCAUGAGGCUGAAGCCUUUUCAUGUGUUUUCUCCCAUUAAGUGUUGCUAUAUAUAUGUCCAAUACAACAUUACAUCCAAAAAAGAAAUAAUGUUUUUAUAUUUUUUUUAUAAUAAAAUGAUGUUUACAAGAAAAAGAAAGCACUAAUGUUUUUAUGAAAAAUUUGAAAAUAAGCUAUUUCACAUUGUAGCAGGUAGUAUUUGUUUUCGUUAAUUCACUAGGCAAUUAAAUUACUCUUUUUGUAAUUCAUAAUUUCAAGUAUUGAGAGAUCCUGGUAACUUUUCAACAAUAAUUUGUAGAGAUCAAUGUAAUUAGCGCUUAAAAGAGUGGAACCUGUCGAGAAUCUAUAAAGUAUUAAUAAGUCACUGCCAAAAUAUUGAUGUCUCUUCAAUGUAUCAUAGAAUCAAAAUUAUUAUUACUAUUAUUAUUAUUAUUAUUAUUAUUAUUAUUAUAUAAAAGUAGGAGGAAAGUUACGUAAGAAUGUUACAUGUCUCUUCUUGUACACGCUUCA